GAAUUGUAAAUAAUUAAAUCUAGAGUAGUAUUAGUUAAGAUCUUGAAACUCAAAAAAUUUGGCGGUAUUUUAGUCUAUUUAGAGGAACCUGUAGUAUAAUCGAUAAUCCACGAUGGACCUCACUUAAUUUUGUUUUUCAGUUUGUAUACCGCUGUUAUUUGAAAAUUUUAUAAGAAUAUUAAUUUUCAUAAUUUUUAAUUAAAAAAUAAAUCAGGUCAAGGUGCAGCUUAUGAUUAAGUAUUUAUGGGUUACAAUAAAUUUAUUUAUAUGAAUUAAAGCAUGAAAAUUGUUUUUUGAAAGCGGAUUUAAUAGUAAAUUUUUAAAGAUAAAAGAAUUGAUU
rnacentral:rRNA from 1 species